CCCCCCCAAAAGUGUCAGAGCACAGGGGAUAGUAGCUUUGUUUCCCUAUCUAGAAGACCCAUACUCACAACAUGGAUAUGAUCAUUACUACGAUCCGGAGAGUGGUUCCGGAUACCUUGCAUGGCGAUUGAAGACCAUACAAAGAAAAACAGCAGAGGAAAGAGGUGCCUCAGUCAGCAAAUCUCCUAAAGUUGGUGGGCCAGGCCGUGAUCGUCAGCCCUUCACCUAUGACAGAGAGCCAUCUGAUGAGGAUGUGGAAGCAGCUAUUGCUGUUUUGAGACACUCUGCUGAUGAAAACACUGUCCGUGAGAAGAUGAAAAUGACCUUCAUAUAUCGGCAAGCAAUGGUCAACGAUGAAGCCAAAUCAUCAGAUGUCUUCUCGGUCUUCCCAAGAUUUCUGGACACACCAGGACUGAUAGAACAAGAUUUCAGACUUCUGUUUGGUGAGGCCACAGCCAACAAAUUCUUGGAGAAGUGGCCAACCACUUUCAAAGCAAAAGUAAUAAAGGAAAGCCAUGGACUUGUAUCCACCACAGAACUCUUGGAUUUGAUGCGCAAUGCUGAGUCAGCUGCUGAAGUUGAGAAUGGCUGGGACAGUGACAUGUCUGCCAUCUUGCUGCUGCUACAUUUGCUACCACCAUCUGCACAAGGUAGAAAGAGGCCGGGAAAGAUGUCUGCAUAUCAAGCUGUAGAUCAGCUCAUCAGAUU